AUGGGGACAGGGACACAGACCCCUGCUGCUCCUGACCACACCUGUCUGGUGUGCUCUGCUCUGCCCUGCACUGCAGACUGUGCAAAAUCAGCCAGAAGGAGCAAGGAGAGGCCCUGGCUGCAGCGCUGGCAGACAGCCUGUGGGCAGCGGGGGACGGCCGGAGAGCCACCGUCUGCCUCCUCACUGCAGCCACCCACUGCUCCCCUCCUGCGGGCUACAAAGCCGACAGCUUCACUGAGCGGAUCCACCUGUUCGAGUUCCCCGAGAAAGCAGCAGCUCAGGAGUUCAUCUUUGACCAUAUUGGCUGUGUAUGUAUGGAAUGCCA
rnacentral:lncRNA from 1 species